AUUGAACGCUGGCGGCAUGCCUUACACAUGCAAGUCGAACGCACUAGCAAUAGUGAGUGGCGCACGGGUGCGUAACACGUGGGUAAUCAACCCUUUAGCCUGGGAUAACGACUCGAAAGGGUCGCUAAUACCGGAUACGGCGCGAGAGGCUUCGGCUUCUCACGAGAAAGCCACGCAAGGGGCACUGAAGGACGAGCCUGCGGCCCAUCAGCUAGUUGGUGAGGUAAGAGCUCACCAAGGCUAAGACGGGUAGCUGGUCUGAGAGGAUGAUCAGCCACACUGGAACUGAGACACGGUCCAGACUCCUACGGGAGGCAGCAGUGGGGAAUAUUGCGCAAUGGGCGAAAGCCUGACGCAGCCACGCCGCGUGAGCGAUGAAGGCCUCGGUCGGUAAGACGUCUGUGGGUAGGAGGACGAAGAAAGA
rnacentral:rRNA from 1 species